AUUGAACGCUGGCGGCAUGCCUUACACAUGCAAGUCGAACGGCAGCAUGAUCUAGCUUGCUAGAUUGAUGGCGAGUGGCGAACGGGUGAGUAAUACAUCGGAACGUGCCCUGUAGUGGGGGAUAACUAGUCGAAAGAUUAGCUAAUACCGCAUACGACCUGAGGGUGAAAGUGGGGGACCGCAAGGCCUCAUGCUAUAGGAGCGGCCGAUGUCUGAUUAGCUAGUUGGUGAGGUAAAGGCUCACCAAGGCGACGAUCAGUAGCUGGUCUGAGAGGACGAUAGCCAACAUGGGGAUGGGGCGGGGGCCCGGACCCCGGCGGGGGGAGCGGGGGGGGAUUUGUGAAGAAGGGGGAAAGGCUGGCCCCAGCAGUGCGGGGGGUGGAAAGAGGCCUUUGGGUUUGAAAGACUUUUUUGCCGGGAAAAAAUGGGCUGUGUUAAAUCCGGGGGGUGGAGGAGGGUACGGGAAAAAAAGGGCCGGGCAAACUCGGUC
rnacentral:rRNA from 1 species